AUUGAACGCUGGCGGCAGGCUUAACACAUGCAAGUCGAGCGGGGUGAUGGUGCUUGCACUAUCACUUAGCGGCGGACGGGUGAGUAAUGCUUAGGAAUCUGCCUAUUAGUGGGGGACAACAUCUCGAAAGGGAUGCUAAUACCGCAUACGUCCUACGGGAGAAAGCAGGGGAUCACUUGUGACCUUGCGCUAAUAGAUGAGCCUAAGUCGGAAUAGCUAGUUGGUGGGGUAAAGGCCUACCAAGGCGACGAUCUGUAGCGGGUGUGAGAGGAUGAUCCGCCACACUGGGACUGAGACACGGCCCAGACUCCAACGGGAGGCAGCAGUGGGGAGUAUUGGACAAUGGGGGGAACCCUGAUCUAGCCAUGCCGCGUGUGUGAAGAAGGCCUUAUGGUUGUAAAGCACUUUAAGCGAGGAGGAGGCUCUUUUGGUUAAUACCCAAGAUGAGUGGACGUUACUCGCAGAAUAAGCACCGGCUAACUCUGUGCCAGCCGCCGCGGUAA
rnacentral:rRNA from 1 species